rnacentral:lncRNA from 1 species
AUUUGUUUAUUAUAAAAAGUAGUAUGCAUCUAUACAAAAUAAAUGCAUGUAAAAUAUAUAAUAAUUUUUGAAACAACUAUUAAGAUUAUCCAAAAGAAUUGAUAUGGCUCUCAUUGACCCAGAAAGAAACUCAUUGUGGUUCUUGACUAUUUGAGAUUCUCCUAUAUGGCUUGUAAUGACAUGAAGCUUGAUCACCUCUGUUAUAUACCAUAAAAUAGAAAAGCUGUUUAAUUAAUUGAAGGCUUCAUUUUGUUGAAAAUUAUCUGUAGACAGGUUAAUAUUGUAACUUCAGCGAUACUAUUCUAUCAUUUAUAUGUUUUGUAUUUGACACCUACACAUAAUACGAUGUCAUAAUGUUGGAUAUUCCAUAAAUGAAAAAAAAAAGGUCUGUUUGAAAGCUUGCAGUACUUUUGUGUAUUAACUCAUCAGUUACAGACUGAAUAAGCAAUAACAUGAAAACUUUAUAUAUGAAAAAUGGCACAUUUAUAAGGAGAAUCUUGAGGACAUUAUCAAUAGGAAAGACAUGAAUAACUUACCAACUGCCUGGGAUUUCCUUGUUAAAUAUAUGAAAAAACCAGAUUUUGAAUAUGCCUUUUACUUUGUUCUUUGAUAUAUAUUUUUUUUGUAUGUUUUGUUAAUGUUUCUAUAGUAUGGCUUGAUUGUAUGAUAGUUCCUUUUAAUAGUGUAACAUCAUCUGCAUGGGCAGUAUGCUUCUUUUGGUGGAUUGAUGUGAAUAUAUGGGUGUUUAUUUUUCUUUUAGUUAGGAAAGGGAUAGUGUUGUUUAUUGUUUGUGGAUGGAGAUUAGGGACAGUUUGGUAUUGGUUGAAAUUUUCCAAUUGUUGUGAAGAAGUUGGUUCUGACCUAUCCUAUUUAUUAUUUUAUUAUGUUCCGUAUUAUUUUUAUCGUUAUAUUCAUC